rnacentral:rRNA from 1 species
UACGAACUGUGCGAACGUUAUUCGGAAUCACUGGGCUUAAAGGGUGCGUAGGCGGCUUUGUAGGUCAGAUGUGAAAGCCCACGGCUCAACCGUGGAAUUGCGUUUGAAACCACAAAGCUUGAGGGAGAUAGAGGAGAGCGGAACUGAUGGUGGAGCGGUGAAAUGCGUUGAUAUCAUCAGGAACACCGGUGGCGAAAGCGGCUCUCUGGAUCUCUUCUGACGCUCAGGCACGAAAGCUAGGGGAGCGAACGGGAUUAGAUACCCCAGUA